rnacentral:rRNA from 1 species
GAUCAUGGCUCAGGAUGAACGCUGGCGGCGUGCCUAACACAUGCAAGUCGAGCGGAGAUAAGUUGAAGCCUAGCGAUCUAUCUAGCGGCGGAUGGGUGAGUAACACGUGGGUAACCUGCCCUGUACUGGGGAAUAACAGUUGGAAACGACUGUUAAUGCCGCACAUGCGCACGAAGCCGCAUGGCUUAGGGCGGAAAGAUUUAUCGGUACAGGAUGGGCCCGCGUCGGAUUAACUAGUUGGCGGGGUAACGGCCCACCAAGGUGAUGAUCCGUAGCCGACCUGAGAGGGUGACCGGCCACAUUGGGACUGAGACACGGCCCAAACUCCUACGGGAGGCAGCAGUGGGGGAUAUUGCACAAUGGGGGAAACCCUGAAUGCAGCGACGCCGCGUGAAGGAAGAAGUAUUUCGGUAUGUAAACUUCUAUCAGCGGGGAAGAAGAUGACGGUACCCGACUAAGAAGCCCCGGCUAACUACGUGCCAGCAGCAGC